GGGGGGGGGGGGAGGGGGACGCCGGGACCAUGUGGGGGAGGGUCAGACCCUGCCGCCCCCAGGACAUCGGGAGGUCAUGAGGAUGGUCAGGGAAAUCGCCGUCCUGCACAAGGUGCCCCUCGCGGAGGUGACGACGGACGAGCGGGUGCUGCUGGAGGCCGGUUUCGGGGCGACCCCCCCCCUUUUCGAGUGCUUCGUGGCAGAGCCGCCGCCUGGGAGGGGGCGAG